rnacentral:rRNA from 1 species
UACGGGGGGUGCGAGCGUUGUCCGGAAUCACUGGGCGUAAAGGGCGCGUAGGUGGUUUGAUAAGGGUGUGGUGAAAGUCCGGAGCUCAACUCCGGAUCUGCCGUGCCGACUGUCAAACUCGAGGGCUGUAGAGGCAGACGGAAUUCCGGGUGUAGCGGUGGAAUGCGUAGAGAUCCGGAGGAAGACCGGUGGCGAAGGCGGCAUCCUGGACCAAUUCUGACGCUGAGUGAGCGAAAGCCAGGGGAGCAAACAGG